AAUGAACGCUGGCGGCAUGCCUAACACAUGCAAGUCGAACGAAGUCUUCGGACUUAGUGGCGCACGGGUGCGUAACGCGUGGGAAUCUGCCCUUGGGUACGGAAUAACUCAGAGAAAUUUGUGCUAAUACCGUAUAAUGUCUUCGGACCAAAGAUUUAUCGCCCAAGGAUGAGCCCGCGUAGGAUUAGGUAGUUGGUGAGGUAAAAGCUCACCAAGCCGACGAUCCUUAGCUGGUCUGAGAGGAUGAUCAGCCACACUGGGACUGAGACACGGCCCAGACUCCUACGGGAGGCAGCAGUGGGGGAAUAUUGGACAAUGGGCGGCAAGCCUGAUCCAGCAAUGCCGCGUGAGUGAUGAAGGACCUUAGGGUUGUUAAAGACUCUUUUACCCGGGUACGUGAUAAUAGACAGUACCGGGACGGAAGUAAAGACUCCGGCCGUAACUUA
rnacentral:rRNA from 1 species